UACAGAGGGUGCGAGCGUUAAUCGGAAUUACUGGGCGUAAAGCGCGCGUAGGCGGCUUUGCAAGUCGGGUGUGAAAUCCCCAGGCCUAACCUGGGAACUGCAUUUGUGACUGCAUGGCUAGAGUUUGUCAGAGGGGGGUGGAAUUCCACGUGUAGCAGUGAAAUGCGUAGAUAUGUGGAGGAACACCGAUGGCGAAGGCAGCCCCCUGGGAUGUGACUGACGCUCAUGUACGAAAGCGUGGGGAGCAAACAGG
rnacentral:rRNA from 1 species